AUGAUUCAAUAUAAAUAUUGGGUUGUUGUGUGUUUUCCAGGCUGUAUGGCUAUGUUCCAGAAGCAUUCUCUCCUGACGUUUCACCCACAUCUAUGGCAGGCAUCGUCAACCUCUGAUGUACUACAACUCACAAAGAGGAAGUUCUGUUUCCCCAAAACCCCUCCAGUUAUUGAAUUUCAGCAUAUCAGGUGUAUUUAAAUAUGAUGUGCCCCGCCUCGAGCUGAAAGAAGUAGGUAAUAAAUAUAUUAUUAUUAUUA